UCCGUUACGUUGGUGACGUCACCACGAGCGCGAGAAGUCGAAGGUAGGAGCAGAAAGCGGUGUUAGUGUUAGUUCUGGCCCGUUUGGACCCAAACUAAAGUGUAUCAGUAUGAAGCAGGCGGUGACGGCGCACUGAUUCACUCUCGGAGCUCGGUUCACUAAUGACCGAAUCACCGAGGAACCGACCAAAGAUAACUCACACCCGCACGGAGAAGAAGAACAAGAGGAGGAGAAGAUGAGCUGGAGUAGGGCAAAGAGAACUGCAUUCAGAUCAAAAGGAUACAAGAGGUGGCCGAGUUGUUUGAGGAUCUAAAGAAUUGAGUGUCACAAUUCAACAUGCACAUCAGCGAAACUUUUCCCUCUGACUACACCAGCACGCACGCACAGAAAUUCAUAGUGCAGGUGGCGAUUGCAGGCGCAUUUUAUCCGAACUGCUUCCUCCAGGGAACUCUAUGGAAACGACCCCAGGACCACCAUAGUGGUGUGUAAUCUCCCUCCAUUUGCAUUCCUCUACUAUAAACAGCUCCAGUCUCUCUUCAGACACUGUGGUUAAAUCAAAUCCAUCUCCUUUGACAGCUCCAGGGCCUAUGUAGAGUUCUACCGCUCGUCAAUGAGAGGUUCUGGCGUUCUCCCAGAGGUCUCUCUGUCUCUCCUCCUCACGCAGCAGAGACUUCCUCUCCAUCUCAACGUUUAACCCGCUGGAGAGGUGGAGACUUGGGCAGGGGGGUAGUGUAUCUCACACCUCAGAUAUACACGGGUGAAUGUGGAUUUUCAGAAUCGGUCAGUGAGCCCUGUCGGGGUUCUGAGCAGCUCCAUUGAGUUGGAGAAUCUUCCGUCUAACCCUGUCUUUAUCGUCAAUAUCACCGAGGUGUCUGUUCCGCCUCUUUCACUUUCAGUGCACAAAUAAAAAAGAAGCAGUGGCUCCUGUGUGUGUGUGUGUGUGUGUGUGUGUGUGUGUGUGUGUGUGUGUGUGCACUAACAGGAGGUCCAGGUGCAGCCUUUGGAUAUUGAUGAAGAUUUACUGCCCCUGCAAGACCUUCCUCAACUGCGUAGUCUGGAGCAAAGGAUGCAACAGAGCCCAGAUUACAAGCAAAAUCUGGUAAACUGGUUGGCGCUUAUUGACGGGGUGUAUGUGCGUGACUGCACCUGGCGCAUAUUGAAGAGGGUGAUUGCUAACUCCCUGGCAAAGAAUCUCAAUUGGAGGGGAGUCAAUGGAAAGACUUCACUGUCCGCUCUCCAACUCGGAGAGGUCGUGAUUGCUGCAGUUCAUAGAAACCUCCUCACGGCUAAAGCUGCAGAGAUGGAGGUCGAGGGGACCAUGAAGAGGCGGCUCCAGCUGGCAUCAGAUCGAGAGUGUGGGCGCAAGAGCAGACUUUUGAUAAAGGAGGGGCCUAAACAUGGCUGAAAACUCACAAAACUCGGUAGACGCGCCAGCACCAGUGAAAAUGUAACUUACAUUGGGCAUGGUCGAGGAGCUCCUUAGCACCCCUGAAUGCAGACAAAGUUAGAUUCAGCUUCGGACACAAGUUCCAGGUACUGAUCGAGAAGGAGUGGAUCAGCUUCGGACACAAGCUGACCUCGCGUGUCGGCCUUGGAGAUGAGAAUCACGCCAACUCGGAACGAUCCCCUCUCUUUGUGCAGUUCAUCGACUGUGUGUGGCAGAUGAUGAGACAGGUGAAACCCAGGGCUCAAACCAAGAGAAGACAUUCAGAGCUAUUCAUUCUUUAAAGUCCAUUUAACGAGUUUCCUUCUGCUUCUGAGUUCAAAGAGCUUUUUCUCAUCCCCAUCCUGGAUCGCCCCUACAGCUGCCUGUUUGGUACAUUCCUCUACAGCAGUGAGCAGGAGAGAAUGGAAAAGGAAGUACAGGGUAAAACGGUCACUGUGGUCCUACGUUAACAGUCAGCCGGAGGACUUCACUAACCCGUUCUAUGUGGACUGUAAAAACCAGGUGCUGUAUCCACUGGCCAGUCUCACACAUCUGGAGCUCUGGGUGGGUUAUUAUGUGCGCUGGAACCCACGCAUGAGACCUCAGAAAACUACAUGAACGUACAGGUGUUCCUAAUAAAGUGGACGGUGAGUGAACAUGACGUGGCUGAAACGAUUUCCAAAACACUUCAGGAGCAGCUAGCGAUAAAGAUUAAGAUGCCGCUCCAUCAGAAUCUGAGAGAGUUAUUGUUUUUGCGUGAAGAACGUGGAGGAGCUCCAGAGAGAGGCCACGUCAUCCUGCUCCAUCUCCUCAUCCUCAGAGCAUACUUCUCCCUCCUCACAUAGUGAAAAAGUUUUGCAGUUCCUAUCCAAAAGACACCAAGAGCCCAGAUGUCCUUAGAAACUAAAUGUACCCUCCAACUCGUGGCCUUUUCAGAAACUCGAUUCCCAGACGUCACCACACUGAUCACAGUGCAUCCUUCAAAUCCACCGUGCAGCGGAAAUGGACCAGUCGAUUUAAACGGAUUGUUGAAAAUGUACGUUGUUCAAGGCAUUUGUGAAUUUGAAAUUUCGCUACAAACCGAGUCUGAACAGUCGCCAGAAUCUGAGGCAAAAACACACGAAGGAACGAGAUCACGUCAUCAUUGCCUCGUCUCUGGUGUUCUACAUUUUUGACAAAAGUAACACCAGAGAUGCUGCGUUAAAAUGGUCAAGAAAAUUACACCAGAGUAAAAAAAUCCCAUUGGGUGAGAUUAUAAACAUCGACUGAAACUCUCGAUAGGACGUGACACUGUUGGAGAGUUGCAUACGAGCGGACAUUAAACAAUAUUUAGUAGAAGCCUUGUGGAUGUUUUUGUCUGUGUUCGUCUGUAAUAUACUGGACUGUCCUACCAAGAGUUCGACCACAUACACAUUCAACUGAAGCUCAUACAGUCAGCAUACUGAACUCUCCUUUUUGCCAUAGUGCGGCCGCUUAACAGGAUAAGGCCUCAGAAGUCAAGCACCAGCAGCUUGUGGCUAAAAAGCUGCAGCAGAAUUGAGCUCGGCUAGGAGGUGACUGGUGACGGAAAAAGCCGGGGAACCUCGGAAAGGAAAACAGGGCUGUGUUCCAAAUCUUUUAUCGCCUCCUCUUCAAACUCCAAAAACCUCUGGGCCCUACAGCUAAAUCCAGAGCUGAGGAAAACAACCGUUCAACUAAGAAGGCCUUCUCAAACACAAUGUUUGAGCGAAGGGAGGAAAUGAUCAAACACGGAUCAAUUGGAACACAGCCCAUACAGCAAAACCGUAAAAGGUGCCAUAGAGUGUAAAUGAUUCAAAAAGACCCAAAUCUAAGCCCAAACACUUCAUAUGACCAUUGAUAUGACUGCUAACGAAAUCUAUUGUACUGUAGCUACACUGCUACAAGUGUAUAUAAAGAUACACCGAUACAACCAGUUGAACAUGAAUAACACGCAAAGCACAUUUCACAAAUCACAAAUUCCCUAAUAAAGGAAAAAGACGUUUGUGCUAACAUGUAAGACUCGAGUUUCUACAUCUUCCAAACAAGUACACUUGAGCGUCUUCAUUACUGUAAGCUCGGCUCUGAAAAUCUGCUACCACUGUUGUACCAGUAAACACACGCACACAGAGCAAGUUAGCAAAGAUCGGUCAACAAGGUUUCUUCAACACAACCACCUUUUGAUACACGUACGCUCACUUCAUAUUGACAGUCCCUUUUUAAAAGUGAAUUAAACCAUGAGCAGCUAUCUUCUCAAAAGUCCGGUCAAUUUCAGAGCACAAAAAAACUGCCUAUAUACACAACAAUUCAGUCCCACGUCUCUGAAAGAAAUGCAGAGCACAAAUGUACAAAUCACUGUGAUUUCUAUUUUUCUUACAUGUGAAAAGGAUGCUUGUAAAAAGAUGAUAAAUCUUCACUGGGAAUUACUUUAAGGUCAUCAACAAUUAAUUUAUGAAUCAGGGGAGCCUGGCUCUGGUCCUGAAUUCCUGUGAUCAUGCACAGUGUGAUGAUUUCUCAUCUAACACUCCUACCUAAUGACCCGAGGACUUAAAUCGGGUGUGAUUCAGGAAAAUUCCCAAACUGUACUGGACUGUAGUCUUACAGGACCACAGUAAGGCUUCCCUGCUCUAAAGCGUUUCCUACAGAAAUAUUUAUUUGAACAUGAUGUGGAUAAUCUAAUCACAGACUCUGGAUUAACGGUGCACACAGCGAUGCUUUCACACAAAAGUGUGAUGGACACUAAAAAGCUGGAGCAGCACUAAUGCAUGAAUAGUUUGUCUCAGAGUUUGUACUUUCAGUUAGAAACACAUUAAACCUCUACAAUAUUAUUCAUAUGAAGUUGGAAACUGUGCAAACAGUCGUAUUAGUGAGAAUGAGGACAAACAGUUAAAUAUUCACAGAAAGUUUGACUUAGUCACAAAGCAGAUGUCCCUCCCCCACCCCCCACUGAGAGCAUGUAUGCGUUGAGCAGUGCUCCCUCUUCAGGCUGGGAGAUGUAUCACAGGUUACACCACGUUGUCUUCUGUGGGCGGCUCAGCAUUAGGGGGCUGGAGGAGAGUUUGUUGAACAGUAAAAUGACAUUUUCACUUAG